rnacentral:misc_RNA from 1 species
AAGUCGUAACAAGGUUUCCGUAGGUGAACCUGCGGAAGGAUCAUUAUUGAUUGGUCGAAAGACCUUAUCAGAUUCUACCACCUCUGUGAACCGUUGACCUCCGGGUUAACAAUCAAACAUCAGUGUAACGAACGUAAGAGUAUCUUAAUUAAACAAAACUUUUAACAACGGAUCUCUUGGCUCUC